GACGAAUGCUGGCGGCGUGCUUAACACAUGCAAGUCGAACGGAAAGGCCCUGCUUUUGUGGGGUGCUCGAGUGGCGAACGGGUGAGUAACACGUGAGUAACCUGCCCUUGACUUUGGGAUAACUUCAGGAAACUGGGGCUAAUACCGGAUAGGAGCUCCUGCUGCAUGGUGGGGGUUGGAAAGUUUCGGCGGUUGGGGAUGGACUCGCGGCUGAUCAGCUUGUUGGUGGGGUAGUGGCUUACCAAGGCCUUGACGGGUAGCCGGCCUGAGAGGGUGACCGGCCACAUUGGGACUGAGAUACGGACCAGACUCCUACGGGAGGCAGCAGUGGGGAAUAUUGCACAAUGGGCGGAAGCCUGAUGCAGCAACGCCGCGUGCGGGAUGACGGCCUUCGGGUUGUAAACCGCUUUCGCCUGUGACGAAGCGUGAGUGACGGUAAUGGGUAAAGAAGCACCGGCUAACUACGUG
rnacentral:rRNA from 1 species